rnacentral:miRNA from 1 species
GAGAAAGGUAGCUGGAGGGAGAGAAGAGGGCAUAUGGAAUACAGCUUUGGAGACCACAGUCAGAAUAAUGUCCCUUAUCACUCAGAGCCAAAAUCCUCACUGUGGUCUCCAAAGCUGUAUUCCAUAUGCCCUCUUCUCUCCCUCCAGCUACCUUUCUCU